rnacentral:SRP_RNA from 1 species
GCAAGGCAUCAAAGUUCAUAUCUGUAAACUUGCUACCAGUAGGCAGAGAUUGGUGGGUUACUUAAGCUUGUGAGGUUUGAGUUCCAGGGGCCUAAGCUGAUCAGAUGUCAACACUAAGUCUGGCAUAAAUGGAGAGAACCCCAGAAGUGGGAGGUCACCAAAUAGCCUAAGGAGUAAUGAAUUGACCCAAGUUGGAAAUAGCAGGUCAAAACUCCUGUUUUGAUGAAUACUGGGAUAUUACCUGUGAGUAGACCCUGAACUUUUAACCUGGGCAAGAGAAAGAGAGACCCAAUUU